rnacentral:rRNA from 1 species
UACGUAGGGGGCAAGCGUUAUCCGGAAUUACUGGGUGUAAAGGGUGAGUAGGCGGCAUGGUAGCCAGAUGUGAAAGCCUUGGGCUUAACCCGAGGAUUGCAUUUGGAACUAUCAAGCUAGAGUACAGGAGAGGAAAGCGGAAUUCCUAGUGUAGCGGUGAAAUGCGUAGAUAUUAGGAAGAACACCAGUGGCGAAAGCGGCUCUCUGGUCUGUAACUGACGCUGAGGCUCGAAAGCGUGGGUAGCGAACAGG